GGGUGAUUAGCUCAGCUGGGAGAGCACCUCCCUUACAAGGAGGGGGUCGGCGGUUCGAUAGUUGGUAGAGCAGUUGACUUUUAAUCAAUUGGUCGCAGGUUCGAAUCCUGCACGACCCACCA
rnacentral:tRNA from 1 species